AGAAGUACAAACUUCCAUUUAUAAAAUAAAUUAAGUCACAGGGAUGAAAAGCACAGCAUAGGGAAUACAGUCAAUAACACUGUAAUAACUUUGUAUGGUGACAGAUGUACACUUGUAAGUGCACAUUUCAUAAUGUAUAUAAUUGUCGAGUUACUAUGUUAUACACCUGAAACCAAUAUAAUAUUGUAUGCCAACUAUACUUCAAUUUAUAAAAAUGUUACUGCUAGUAAUGGUAGCAGUAUCCCAGUCCACAAUACCACACGUUUGAAAGUCUCAUCUAAUUUGUACUUGUUUUUGUUAGACUGUACACUUGUAAAGUAGGGACUAUAUCUAUUUAUCUCUAUAUCCCCAGAAUCUACCCUGAGGCCAUGCCCAUAAUAGCCACUAAUUAAGCAACUGUCCUUUCAGGCACUAGAGAAGAGACCACCAAAAUCCUCUGCCUAGCCUCCCUCAUUCCCCUAUAGAUUAUAUCCUCAGUUCCUAUAAUUCUUUGGCUUCCUUUGACUCCCUUUCUUGUUCCCACCUCCUCCCUUCCUCUGCUCCAGGGAUGUUCAUUCACUAAUGGUGAUCUCUGUUCUCAUCCCUGGCAGGUGUUCCAAUGCUUCCUUUUGCUCUCUACCCACAGCUGUAUUAUCUAACCAGCCUCUGCAUCACUUAUUCUGCAAUUAAUAGAAGGGUGAACGGAGGCUGUAUUUCUCGACCAUUGGUCUCAUACCCAUUUGUGAGAAGGAGAAUUCUCUGGAAAAGAGAAAAGCAGAGCAGAAACUCAAAGAGGAAGAGAAUACGAAAAUCCUCAGAGCUGAGAAGAUACAAGAUCACAGGCAGCUACAGACUCGAAAAUAAGAAUAAGGACCAAGGAACAGUCUGACAUGACCAGGAGAGUGAGGAAAAACGAAAGAGCAGGGAGAAGACAGGAGUGUAUAUGGUGGCAGAGAUGAUGGAGAUGAACAAAGAAGAGCCAGAGACAGAUGUCAUACAAAAGGAACAGUAAGUUCUUAUCAUAAAUACAGAGAUGGAAGCAGUGAUCUAAUUAUGGCUAAAAUCAGUUUCUAGGCCAGCUUUCCCAGUUGAAGCUUUCCUGGGUGACUCCAUCAGCCAGCCCUGUGUGGUCCAGGAGUAUGGCAGAGUGGGAGUAGAAAUGGGCAGAGACAGAUAUUAACUUCUCCCACUUCCGUUUAAACCCAAGAAGACCUUUAUUCUCCUACACAGGAAAACUGGACUUUGCACAUUCGUUGGCUACUUUGUAUCAGAUAGAGAAAUUUGAUUAAUGCCACUUCUUCAAAGAGUCAGCUGUAAAACUUUGCCUGUCAGUAAAUAAACAAAUUAAAGAGCAAGAGUUAUUAGUGCUUCA